GGAUGCUUUAACAUGCAGUCGAACGGCAGCACGGACUUCGGUCUGGUGGCGAGUGGCGAACGGGUGAGUAACAUAUCGGAACGUAUCCAAUAAUGGGGGAUAACGAGUCGAAAGAUUCGCUAAUACCGCAUACGCCCUACGGGGGAAAGCUGGGGACCUUCGGGCCUGGCGUUAAUGGAGCGGCCGAUAUCUGAUUAGCUAGUUGGUGAGGUAAAGGCUCACCAAGGCGACGAUCAGUAGCUGGUCUGAGAGGACGACCAGCCACACUGGAACUGAGACACGGUCCAGACUCCUACGGGAGGCAGCAGUGGGGAAUUUUGGACAAUGGGCGCAAGCCUGAUCCAGCCAUUCCGCGUGAGUGAAGAAGGCCUUCGGGUUGUAAAGCUCUUUCGCAAGGGAAGAAAACUUAGCCACUAACAUUGGCUGAGGUUGACGGUACCUUGAUAAGAAGCACCGGCUAACUACGUGCCAGCAGCCGCGGUAAUACGUAGGGUGCGAGCGUUAAUCGGAAUUACUGGGCGUAAAGCGUGCGCAGGCGGCUUUGUAAGUCAGAUGUGAAAUCCCCGAGCUCAACUUGGGAACUGCGUUUGAAACUACAAGGCUAGAAUAUGUCAGAGGGGGGUAGAAUUCCACGUGUAGCAGUGAAAUGCGUAGAGAUGUGGAGGAAUACCAAUGGCGAAGGCAGCCCCCUGGGAUAAUAUUGACGCUCAUGCACGAAAGCGUGGGGAGCAAACAGGAUUAGAUACCCUGGUAGUCCACGCCCUAAACGAUGUCUACUAGUUGUUGGUGGAGUAAAAUCCAUGAGUAACGCAGCUAACGCGUGAAGUAGACCGCCUGGGGAGUACGGUCGCAAGAUUAAAACUCAAAUGAAUUGACGGGGGCCCGCACAAGCGGUGGAUUAUGUGGAUUAAUUCGAUGCAACGCGAAAAACCUUACCUGG
rnacentral:rRNA from 1 species